rnacentral:rRNA from 1 species
UAGGGAAUAUUGCAAAAUGGGCGAAAGCCCGAUGCAGCAACGCCGCGUGGGCGAUGAAGGCCUUCGGGUCGUAAAGCCCUUUUUGAGGGGAUGAGGAAGGACAGUACCCUCAGAAUAAGCCUCGGCUAACUACGUGCCAGCAGCCGCGGUAAUACGUAGGGGGCAAGCGUUGUCCGGAUUUACUGGGUGUAAAGGGCGCGCAGGCGGGAUAAAAAGUCAGUGGUGAAAUCCUACAGCUUAACUGUAGAACUGCCUUUGAUACUUUUAUUCUUGAGUUCGGGAGAGGGAGACGGAAUUCCAGGUGUAGUGGUGAAAUACGUAGAUAUCUGGAAGAACACCAGUUGCGGAGGCGGUCUCUUGGUCCGACACUGACGCUGAGGCGCGAAAGCGUAGGGAGCAAACA